UACGUAGGGGACUAUCGGUGCUCGGAAUGACUGGGCGUAAAGGGCGCGUAGGCGGCUUACAUAGGUAGGCGUGAGAUUCCUGGGCUCAACAUGGGGACUGCGUCUAAUACAUGUAGGCUUGAGUGUGAAAGAGGGUCGUGGAAGUUCCAGUGUAGAGGUGAAAUUCGUAGAUAUUGGAAAGAACACCGGUUGCGCAGGCGGCGACGUGGUCCUUGACUGACGCUGAGGCGCGAAAGCGUGGGGAGCAAACAGG
rnacentral:rRNA from 1 species